rnacentral:rRNA from 1 species
UACAGAGGGUGCUAGCGUUGUUCGGAAUUACUGGGCGUAAAGCGUGCGUAGGCGGUUUGUUAAGUCUGUCGUGAAAGCCCUGGGCUCAACCUGGGAAUUGCGAUGGAUACUGGCAAGCUAGAGUACGGUAGAGGAUGGUGGAAUUCCCGGUGUAGCGGUGAAAUGCGUAGAGAUCGGGAGGAACACCCGUGGCGAAGGCGGCCAUCUGGACCAGUACUGACGCUGAGGCACGAAAGCGUGGGGAGCAAACAGG